UGGAGGUUGUGCCCUUGAGGCGUGGCUUCCGGAGCUAACGCGUUAAGUCGACCGCCUGGGGAGUACGGCCGCAAGGUUAAAACUCAAAUGAAUUGACGGGGGCCCGCACAAGCGGUGGAGCAUGUGGUUUAAUUCGAUGCAACGCGAAGAACCUUACCUACUCUUGACAUCCAGAGAACUUAGCAGAGAUGCUUUGGUGCCUUCGGGAACUCUGAGACAGGUGCUGCAUGGCUGUCGUCAGCUCGUGUUGUGAAAUGUUGGGUUAAGUCCCGCAACGAGCGCAACCCUUAUCCUUUGUUGCCAGCGGUUCGGCCGGGAACUCAAAGGAGACUGCCAGUGAUAAACUGGAGGAAGGUGGGGAUGACGUCAAGUCAUCAUGGCCCUUACGAGUAGGGCUACACACGUGCUACAAUGGCAUAUACAAAGAGAAGCGACCUCGCGAGAGCAAGCGGACCUCAUAAAGUAUGUCGUAGUCCGGAUUGGAGUCUGCAACUCGACUCCAUGAAGUCGGAAUCGCUAGUAAUCGUGGAUCAGAAUGCCACGGUGAAUACGUUCCCGGGCCUUGUACACACCGCCCGUCACACCAUGGGAGUGGGUUGCAAAAGAAGUAGGUAGCUUAACCUUCGGGAGGGCGCUUACCACUUUGUGAUUCAUGACUGGGGUGAAGUCGUAACAAGGUAACCGUAGGGGAACCUGCGGUUGGAUCACCUCCUUA
rnacentral:rRNA from 1 species